rnacentral:ncRNA from 1 species
CAAUAUCAAAAGGGGUGCCUUGUUUUUUUAGGAAACACAAAGACAGGCUGAGAUCAUACCCAUUAUUUGCAGACUAUAUCCAGGUAUAGUUACAAAUAUGCACCUGAUCCGGGUAAUGCCGGCGGAGGGAUUGGAGUUAUGGAGUUU